AGACGAACGGCAAGAAUGAUAGCAAUAUUGUUCCUAGAGUGUCGUAAGGGUGCGUAACACGUAUGCAAUCUGCCCUCAACAGGAGAAUAGCUCCCCGAAAGGGGAAUUAACACUCCGUAAGAUUGUGGUUCGGCAUCGGACAGCAAUUAAAACUAAGGUGGUUGAGGAUGAGCAUGCGCAUGAUUAGUUAGUUGGCGGGGUAACGGCCCACCAAGACGAUGAUCAUUAGGGGAACUGAGAGGUUGAUCCCCCACACUGGCACUGAGAUACGGGCCAGACUCCUACGGGAGGCAGCAGUAGGGAAUAUUGGACAAUGGGUGCGAGCCUGAUCCAGCCAUGCCGCGUGCAGGAAGACGGCCUUCUGGGUUGUAAACUGCUUUUGCCAGGGGAUAAAACGUCUCUGCGGAGAUAAUUGAAGGUACCUGGUGAAUAAGCCACGGCUAACUACGUGCCAGCAGCCGCGGUAAUACGUAGGUGGCAAGCGUUGUCCGGAUUUAUUGGGUUUAAAGGGUGCGUAGGCGGUUCCAUAAGUCAGUGGUGAAAUACGGCAGCUUAACUGUCGAGGUGCCAUUGAUACUGCGGAACUUGAGUACAGACGAGGUAGGCGGAAUUGACGGUGUAGCGGUGAAAUGCUUAGAUAUCGUCAAGAACACCGAUAGCGAAGGCAGCUUACUAG
rnacentral:rRNA from 1 species